CGUAGGGGGCAAGCGUUGUCCGGAAUUAUUGGGCGUAAAGCGCGCGCAGGCGGCUCUUUAAGUCUGGUGUUUAAGUGCGGGGCUCAACCCCGUGACGCACUGGAAACUGGGGAGCUUGAGUGCAGAAGAGGAGAGCGGAAUUCCACGUGUAGCGGUGAAAUGCGUAGAGAUGUGGAGGAACACCAGUGGCGAAGGCGGCUCUCUGGACUGUAACUGACGCUGAGGCGCGAAAGCGUGGGGAACAAACAGGAUUAGAUACCCUGGUAGUCCACGCCGUAAACGAUGAGUGCUAGGUGUUGGGGGUAUCAUGCCCUCGGUGCCGAAGUUAACACAUUAAGCACUCCGCCUGGGGAGUACGCUCGCAAGAGUG
rnacentral:rRNA from 1 species